rnacentral:tRNA from 1 species
UUUUAAAGGAUCCUAGUUUAAUCCAUUA